rnacentral:lncRNA from 1 species
GUUUUUCUUUCUAACACAUUCCAGCUUCCUACGUGGGACAGGAAGGCCGCUGAGCUUUUCCAUUAAGUGUUGUUUGGAGGAAACUUGGAGCACAUGCUGCCUUUGGAACUGCUUAGCGUCAUUGCCAUUCUUCCACCCACCAGGGUAGCAUUUGCAACUUACAUGUCAGGAAAGACAACACCAGUGGCUUACAACUUUUAGACUUCAACUCCAGUCCUGGGAUUACUUGCAUUACUCUGAGCAAAAACAGACCAAAAAAAAAAAAAAAAAAAAAAUCGCAGGUCCCCAUAUAUGCCCUUCGACCUGCCUUUAUGUUUGCUGAUAUUGGAUAUCUUUAAAACCAAGCCAUUGUUCUUGAAACUUGAAGCUAUACCAAAAAAGAGAGGGAGAAACAGGUAAAGAUAUCAUUCUUUUGGUCUAGAAUUUUUUUUUUUUUUGAGACAAAAUAUUUUGGUCAGAUUUUUCUUGGCUACUCUUCGAUCCAUGUUUGGUAGUGACUCAGAAUUGAGAAGCAUGGGGAAAAUUCUAUCAAUACUUUCCACAUCUUGGAAAAUUAAUUGCCUCCAAAU